GUGAACACACAGUCAGAGAGCAGUGCUCUGGCGCCCCCCCACAAGGUUCUAGCCUGAGCCACUGUAGGCAUGUGGCUGCAUUUCCCAAAACAAAGCUUAUUGAGCCGGUGGGAGCCAACUUCACCUUCCAGACUUAAGUCUCUCUGACAGAGCUUUGUUAUAACAGAGAAGGAUUUUUGAGGGAAAGGAGUGAAAGUGCAGGUAGCCAGCAGUUGUCUCCCCACAGCGCACCUACCCUGCUGACAUUUCUCUUCAACUGGAAAAGGGAGUACAUACCUGAGUACAUCCAGUGUGUCCCCUGGGAGAACUGCAGGAACUUUCCAGCAGAACUGCCUAUGUACUUUUCUGAACUGGAAAGCCAAGGCUGAAGAAGGCUGAAGCUAAAGAGAACAGAAGGUUGUAUCUGCUGCAGUAAUUUGAAGUGACAGCUUGGCUUGAAGCACCCUCUAGUGGCGUGAGGAUUUCAGGUCUGAAAUCUGAAUAUCAGAUGGAAAGCUGAAUCUAAUGAGUCUCAACUAUCUCACAAGUCAAGGGACAGAAAAAGGAAAUGUGUAGCAAGAAGAGCAACUAAACAGAGGUUUCAGAGUGCUGAGAUCGUUGCAGCAGACUCUUCCUCCAUUUGGGGCAGUUCUGGGCAAUAGUCUCCCAUGAGUUGAUGUUGAAGUUGCAUUUUUUUCAAGUUAGCCUUGGGGAUGUCCUUAAAGUACUUUAUCUGCCUUCCUCUUGAGCAUACUUCUUGACUGAACUGGGAGAAUAAAACUUGCUUCGGAAGUCUGGAAUCAGACAUCCAGAUGACUUUGCCAGCCCAAUGAAGUUGAUGUCAGAUGAUCAUCACCUCGAUGCUAGUGUUUGCUUGUGACAGGACGCUAAAGUUGGUGUGUCUGUUUUCCCACUGGAUUUGGAGGAUCUUCCGCAUGCAGCAUUGAUGGUAUUUCUCCAGUGGCUUGAGAGGUCUCCUGUACAUCAUCCACAUUCUAGCUCCAUACAGUAAGGUGGGGAUCACAACUGCUUGAUAAACCAUGAGCUUUGUUUCAGCUCUAAUGUCACAAUCUUUGAACACCCAUUUCCUCAGGCAUCCAAAGGCUAAACUUGGACAUUUAAGGAGAUGUUAGGUUUCUUCAUCAAUGUCGGCCUUCUGCAAGAGAUGGCUUCCAAGGUACGGGAAAUACUUAACUUUCUCCAUAGUCUCAUCAUGAAUCUGAAUUAAUGGAGCAGGAGACUGCUUGUUAAUGGAGGACCUUAGUCUUCUGAAUGUUAAGCAUCAGUCCCAUUUUCUUGGAUGUUUCAGUAAAGAUGUCAAUGAUUGCCUGAAGGUCUGCUUCCAAGUGAGCACACACUGAUGACUGAGGUCAAGCUGGUCUUGGUUUUGGCUCAGUCAACUGAGAUUAAACAGUUUACCAUCCAUUCAGUAACUUAACUCCACUCUGACUGGAAGCUUGUUGGUGGUCAGAUGUACCAUCUUGGUAAGGAAUAUCAAAAAGAGUAUUGAAGUGAUGAAGUUUAAGGCUACUAAUAGUGCAGUACCUAAGAAGGAUCAAAAGAAUUAAUUACACACCUUGUAUCUCAGGCAGUAGGGCUGUGCAAAAUGGGCCCUAUUCCAUUUGGAUUCGGCCCAAAUGAGGCACAGUGAUUCAAUCCGUUGAUUCAGAUCACUGUUCCUGAUUUGAUUUGGCUGACUCUGAAGAUUCAAUGCUAAUUUGGCAAUUUGGACACAGGCACAACUUAAAAGGUUUUUUUCUACAUAUCUUGAGGUAGCAGGCAUGACUCAUGUUUGCUGAAUUUUUUGCAUAAGCCAGCUGGGGUGCAUGGAACAUCCCACAGGAGCAUGGGGGGCUCUCUAGUGUGCUCGGCAGUGAACCUGGAAGUGGACCGGAAGUGCUUCUGGUCCUCUGCCAAGGAGUGCUGGGGGGGGUCCCUAUAUCUCCCAGCUCAGCAAUCGGCCAUGGGGGAACCCCGGGUGCCCCCCGCUAGACACUGGGCACCAGUAGCUGAGCCAGGAGGAGGCGGGGGCUAGGUGAUUUAAAUGAAACACUUCCAAUAUAUAAAUCUAUAUAUCAUAGUGUUUCAUUUUUAAUUGUGGAAAAAUGUGGAUUUGGGGUUACUUUUUUUAACUGAAAAUUGGGAUUUUUUUUUAAGUCAGAGAAAACCAGGAUUCCUGCUUAUAUGUCUCCAGAGGUCCAAUAGCAGAAAAAAUUAUGAAGGUCCUUCCUCAUAAGCAAGUGACUCUAAAUGUCACUGCUCCUUCAUAAUAAGGUGAGGUGAAUAUUUUACUAGUAAAUGGCAGAAUGCUCACAGUAGGCAAUAGUAUGGUACCAUUUAGCACCCACACCAUUUUUAAACCCUUUAGAAUAAUAAAAAUGUUAUUAAGAAGCUCAUUCUGAAAGAUAUUGCUGUUUGAACAUGAAAUAAAGAAGGAUUUGUCCUUCAUUUUGAAAACUA